rfam:Salmo salar isolate Sally breed double haploid chromosome ssa27, whole genome shotgun sequence.
UCUCAGUUGGUAGAGCAUGGUGUUUGCAACGCCAGGGUUGUGGGUUCGAUUCCCAC